AUUUUUUCAAAUCAAUAAAGUUUAUGGUUUUAGCUUUGUAACCUACAUCAAAAGUUGAAAAGUAUGUGAAAAGAGCCUGUUCUAUAUAAAACUGUAUAUAUACUUUUCAAUUUUUUAAAAUACUUUUAAUACUAUCUAGUGCAUAGGUGUACAAAAUUAUCUAUAUGUAAGCUUGCACGGUUCAAGUGUUGCGCAGUAUUUUUUAAUAAAGAAUUAUAACCUAUAGGGUACCUGCAAGGUAUAGGAAUUGCUGCUGGCAUUAUAAGAGCAAAUAAAACUAAAUAGUACAAAUUAUAUAAAGCGUUGAGUUAUUACUCACAGCAAGCUAGCGACUAGUGAGCACUAGCUGUGGCUGAAUCUUAAAGAUAUACGAAAUCGAUUCAUUCCAUUCAUGAGUGUAACUGAGGAAAAGCAGUCCAUUUGUUGCCAACACCAGGAGUUAAAGGAAAAUCACAGGUGACAGACAUAUUAAACAUGUGCGUCUCAUUGAAUACUUGCAUGUUAUGGAAGUAAUAUUCAUCGACUUGAAGCAUAAGAAAGAAUAUACAAUAUUGCCAAGACAAAGUUCAAUUAUAGCCUUUCUCACGCCACCAUUUUUGGAGUACUGCAAUUUUUCGGAAACGAUUAUAACAAUGUGAAAAGCAAUAUUUCAGAACAAACUAACUAUUUACAGAGUAAAUUUACCAUCAUACACUCAUAAAAUUAUAAAAUGUCGCCGUUACGUGGUGUUACGCUUGCAGGAUUGGCGAAAAAGUGCCCUAAAAAUGGCGGCGGUAGAAAGGCUAUAAUUGCGCGCUCCUUAAGUACGCCCAUAAAUGAAAACGACAAAGCAUUCUUGACACAUACAUGCAGCCAGAAUAUAUAAUAUUUUCAAGACCAAGUGUAAUCUGUUAAAUUACGCGCUGCUUUAUAGUACGCGUAUAAAUAAAUACAAACGACAAAGUAUUCUUAAGACGUAUGGGUAGGCUAAAUUAUAUAUAACACAAGUUUGCCCUAUCGGAUUUCAUAUUAAUUCUAAUACUGCGAGGCGCAUUUACCACAUCAUAUAUAAAGUAUUAAACUAAAAAACCCAAACUUUAUAAUAAUAUAGAACUUACAGUGGUCAGUGGUCAUCAGGGCGAAGGGAGAGAGGGCGUGGAAACGGCAAUACAAGUCUUGGGACCAUCCGUGAUGCGGGCUUUGCGGGUGGAGGGGGGAAGACGUUCUAAUUGUAAACAAAUGUGGCGACGAGUAUUUGACCCAUCAGAAGGUAGGCUCAAACUAUUGCUUUAUAAAAUAUUACUUGUGUAAAAUUUAUAUGUUUUUGUUACUUACAGCUAUUAUAAGGAACUUAAAGAUAAGAUUUAAGUAACGAAGACCUUUACUUCUGGUGUUAUUUUAUUUCUAUACCCUGUUUAAUUUGGUGUUUGAAAAUGGCCGUCGAAAUGUUUUAAGAGAGUGUUAGAGCGCACUGCUUCCUGAUAAAAAGCCAAUCAUUUCCAAAACCUAAAUUAUAAUUUGUUAUUAAGUUAUGAUGAACACCAUUGCGUUGACAAAAUUAUGUAGUGAGCAAACAUGAGACAGAUAGGUUUUGAAUCUUUCAAAGUUCGAUGUCGAAUUGACAGUUGAAAUAGUACCAAACUCCAACCUGAAACGUGAAACUUUAUCGUGCAUAUUUUUGUCAUUUUUGUUUACUGGCCUUUGUUGAAUUCACUUGCAAUGGGUCGACAUAAGUUACAAC